UAAAAUGCUGCACUAUUAACAGCAUUAGACGGCCAGGUUUGUACUUCAUAGAUGUAGGCUGUCGUCUUCACAAGUUUUAGAAAAAGAAUUUAGGAGCUAGAGCCCUGGUGCAGGAUCAACAGCAGUUCGUACUCCUAUUUUAAAAUAAUUUGGUCGUGGCCUGCCUUCAGUUUUAAUGUGGCACUGGUAAAUCUACCUGGUUCUGGCAUGCUUCACUUUGAUUUCCUGCUAUCCUCUACUGCUUGCCUCUAAAUCAAGGUAAAGAGCAGAGCAGAUAAUUGUGAUCUACAUUUUAAAAUAUCAAGAGAUCGUCUCAGUGCUUCUUCCCUUACAAUGGAGAGUUUUGCUUUUCUUUGGGCUGGAGGAAGAGCAUCCUAUGGUGUGUCAAAAGGCAAAGUGUGUUUUGAGAUGAAGGUUACAGAGAAGAUCCCAGUAAGGCAUUUAUAUACAAAAGAUAUUGACAUACAUGAAGUUCGUAUUGGCUGGUCACUAACUACAAGUGGAAUGUUACUUGGUGAAGAAGAAUUUUCUUACGGGUAUUCUCUAAAAGGAAUAAAAACAUGCAACUGUGAGACUGAAGAUUAUGGAGAAAAGUUUGAUGAAAAUGAUGUGAUUACAUGUUUUGCUAACUUUGAAAGUGAUGAAGUAGAACUCUCCUAUGCUAAGAAUGGUCAAGAUCUUGGCAUUGCCUUCAAAAUCAGUAAGGAAGUUCUUGCUGGACGGCCACUCUUCCCGCAUGUUCUCUGCCACAACUGUGCAGUUGAAUUUAAUUUUGGUCAGAAGGAAAAGCCAUAUUUUCCAAUACCUGAAGAGUAUACUUUUAUCCAGAAUGUCCCCUUAGAGGAUCGAGUUAGAGGACCAAAGGGGCCUGAAGAGAAGAAAG
rnacentral:sRNA from 1 species